GACGUAGGGGGCCAGCGUUGUUCGGAAUUACUGGGUGUAAAGGGUUCGUAGGCGGUGCGGCAAGUUGGGAGUGAAAUCUCUGGGCUUAACCCAGAGGCUGCUUCCAAAACUGCUGUGCUUGAGUGUGAGAGAGGCGCGUGGAAUUGCAGGUGUAGCGGUGAAAUGCGUAGAUAUCUGCAGGAACACCCGUGGCGAAAGCGGCGCGCUGGACCACUACUGACGCUGAGGAACGAAAGCUAGGGGAGCAAACAGG
rnacentral:rRNA from 1 species